rnacentral:lncRNA from 1 species
UUAAUAUUACAUCACCUUUUGAGUGACUUUCUAGUUCUCUUCAGUGAUAUAAGAGUUUAUUGAGGAUUCCCUUUCUUUGAGAUUCAUGUCCUUGACAGAUAGAAAUUGUGUGUUUUGAGCGGUCUUUUGAGAGUGCAGGGUUGCACACUGUUGUUAUCAGUUGAUGAAGGAGUAUUGUUACUGGGAGAAAGUAUUGUAAUAUUUUUAAGUGUUUUAGUGGUUUGGAAUACGGUUAAUUGUGUGAUCCUAACAAGUAAAACUCAUGCACUUAAUCUUUCCCUAUGUUCCAAUUCCCCUAUACAUGUUUAUUCUGAAAAGAAUUGUAGAAUAAGUAAAACAACAAUCACAGUAAGCUUUAUAAAAUUAGAUGACACAUCCAAAUCCAUUCCUAGAGUAAUAAAACAUCAUUCACUCAAUUUACAGGUUUGGAUAUAGACACCAUAUUCCUCCAACCAAAGUGGGUGAGUAAAUCCUUAGAAAAUUGAACACGAUGCAAUUAAAAGUCUAAAUUAAUAUACCGUGAGAAGAUAUAACCGAGCUUCAAAAGAAUUCUUGGACACACCAGAAAAGAAUGGGUGUGUGUAAAGAAUGGGUGUGUGUAAAGAAUGGGUGUGUGUGCGCGCAGCUGGCAAAGAGGCAAGUUGCCAUCUUUCACGUGGAGCUCCGGCAGCAUUCUCCGCAAUUCUUUAAUCGAUUCUCCGCUGCCCCAGACGGCGAAGACUGAACGUGGGGGAGAAUUCUCUGGAGAGGAUGUGGGGUCAACGCCCGGGUCUGGCCGCACUCUGCCAUGCACCCUGCAAUAAACUUAUUGUUUCUCAAUUAAGUCCUUUUGUCAGGCUCGUCCUUGUUUGUCUCUAGCCACCUUAGAUGCCUAGCUGGGUAGGUCAAUGUCAUUCUUCUUCGGUAGGCCCGUCAAACACGAAAAGCUCAUAAGUACAGACAUAAGUUACUGGCCGUAGCAGUGGCAACGGGAUGAACGUUAAGUGGAAGGUUGAUGUCAGAUAAGUUGUGGAGGACUAAAAAAACCUUACCGCAUCCAGCAACACGUCAGUUUUGGCACGAACCAGAACCCCACAAGAAAUUAUGCAAGCUCGCAGGAAGUAAAUUUGCAGCUGGUCAACAACAGAGGUGGACUAGUUAGUGCCUUGCAUCAAACAUUGAGUGAGAUUCUUUUUAGAGUGUGGACAACGAUGAGCACCUUUCUGGUCCGCUCAGAACCACAUGAACUUGACAGAGUUCUGGUAGUUAUGUGGGUACAGUGUAGUUUCUGCUUGGCUCUGCCGUUAACGCUGGAUUAGAUUGGCAAGUCGUAGUUUUAUUGUUUCGGUGCGGUGCGAUGAGAAACCUUCACCGAUGGAGCAUCGCCGUGGUGAAUGGGUUCGACUCAGGUGGAUUCCUGGGGCCGUCCUUUCUGGAAAUGAGUGUAUCGUUUAGUGACCUUGUUCAGUUGGGAAUGCUUUACCACAGUAAAUAUAGUGACUCCGUGGACUGUGUCGAUAAAUGUGUGUACUGUCUGGUGAACUAUUAUCAGCUUUGGGCGGCACUUUCUCUUCCCUACUGGACAGGACAAGGUACAAAAGUUACAAAUGUGUACAGGGGAUGCCAAUCAGUGACGGUGUUCGCUUGAGCGAGGCUUGCAGCACAAUGAUCCAGUCGUCUCGCUAUUGAAGCGUCUGUGAUUUCUAUUCUCACGAUUGUUCUUGG